CCCCAGUUUCCCCACCUGUGAUGUGGGGAGAAGUCCUACCCUAUAGGAUGACUGAUGGAAACACAAGAGAGAAUGUGGGAGUGCCUUGAGAAGGGUGCUUUCCUUCUGCCUCGCUUGUCUCUGCUGCCGGCAUCCGUGUGAGCCUCUUCCCUGGACCUUCUGACUCUGCUUGGUUUUCUUCUGGGGUGGAAGGAUGUCAGAAUUUGUUCUGGUUACUGCCAAGCUGCUGCUCUGGCCAGGGCAGGUAGACAGGCUGUCUCCUCUUUGUUGAAGAUGGUUCCUUCUUCAGAAAGGCAAAUGUUGGCAACUCCUCAGAGUCACUAUCACCAGAAUCCAAUGAGGGUGAUGACUUCUUUAGAGCCAUCAGUAUGUGCUAUCAAAUAAUUCCCUAAAAGGAAAAGAGACAUACGACACAGACUGGAGCAUUCAAUUCAGUCCACUAGCUGUGUUCCAUAGCCAGGCUUUAUGACAUAAAUAUAAGAUAUAGAGAAUACAGAAACAGAGAAAUAUGACAUGGCCCCAACACAUUCAAUCUGGAACUCUAACUCCUGGUAAUCUAACAGGAAUCCUCCUCAAAUUCUUUCCAGGUCAAGAUGAAGUAUAAACAAAGUAGAGUUACCAUUACAAAAUUUUAAUGGGGGGAGGUGGUAACAAGAUUUAACACCUCCAACCCCUUGUUGAUCUUCACGUUUGAAAUGGAGAUGUCAAAAGUUAUUCUUUUUUUUUUUUUGAGAUGGAGUCUCACUCUGGCACCCACGUUGGAGUGCAGUGGCACAAUCUUGGCUCACUGCAACCUCACUCCCAGGUUCAAGCGAUUCUCCUGCCUCAGCCUAGCUGGGAUUACAGGCGCCGUAGGUGGGAUUACAGGCGCCCCACCACCACACCUGGCUAAUUUUUGUAUUUUUAGUAGAGACGCGUUUUCAUCGUGUUCGCCAGGCUAGUCUUGAACUCCUGACCUCAAGUGAUCCGCCCGCCUUGGCCUCCCAAAGUGCUGAGAUUACAGGUGUGAACCACUGCACCUGGCCAAAAACUGUUCUUUUUAAAAAUUGAGAUAUAGGCUGGGCGUGGUAGCUCAUGCGUAUAAUCCCAGCACUUUGGGAGGCCAAAGCAGAAGGAUCACUUGAGCCCAGGAGUUCGAGAACAGCCUGGGCAACAUAGUGAGAACUCGUCUCUACAAAAAAAUACAAAAAUUAGCUGGGUAUGGUGGCUCACACCUGUAGUCCCAGAAACUCAGGAGGCUGAGGUGGGAGGAUUGCUUGAGCCUGGGAGGUCAAGGCUGCAGUGAGCUGUGAUUGUACGACUGCACUCCAGCCCGGGUGACAGAGUGAGACCCUGCUUCAAAAGAAAAAUAAAAUAAAAAUAAAAAUAGAGAUAUAAUUUGCACAGCAUAAUAUCCUUUUAAAAGUGUACAUUCAGUAGAUUUUAGUAUAUUCACAAUGUUGUGCAACCAUCAUCACUAUUUUUAUCACCUCAAAAAGAAUUCCUGCAGCCAUUAAGCCGUCACUGUCCUUUCCCUCCCUCUCCCCAGCUCCUGGCAACCAUAAAUCUGUCUGUAUGCAUUUGCCUAUUCUGGAUAUUUCAUAUAAAUAGAAUCGUACACUA